rnacentral:piRNA from 1 species
AGACACUCCUCAAAUUGCAUAAACGCUCC